GACGAACGCUGGCGGCGUGCUUAACACAUGCAAGUCGAACGGUGAAGCGCCUUCCUUUUUGGUGGGUGUGGAUGAGUGGCGAACGGGUGAGUAACACGUGAGUAACCUGCCCCCUUCUUCUGGAUAACCGCAUGAAAGUGUGGCUAAUACGGGAUAUUCUGGGUCUGUCGCAUGAUGGGUCUGGGAAAGAUAUUGUUUCGGUGGGGGAUGGGCUCGCGGCCUAUCAGCUUGUUGGUGGGGUGAUGGCCUACCAAGGCGGUGACGGGUAGCCGGCCUGAGAGGGUGGACGGUCACACUGGGACUGAGACACGGCCCAGACUCCUACGGGAGGCAGCAGUGGGGAAUAUUGCACAAUGGGCGCAAGCCUGAUGCAGCGACGCCGCGUGAGGGAUGGAGGCCUUCGGGUUGUGAACCUCUUUCGCCAGUGAAGCAGGCCUGCCUCGGUGGUGGGUGGGUUGACGGUAGCUGGAUAAGAAGCGCCGGCUAACUACGU
rnacentral:rRNA from 1 species